rnacentral:rRNA from 1 species
CUUUGGGAUAACCCUCGGAAACGGGGGCUAAUACCGGAUAGGACUCCUGGUUGCAUGACUGGGGGUGGAAAGAUUUUUCGGUCUGGGAUGGGCUCGCAGCCUAUCAGCUUGUUGGUGGGGUGAUGGCCUACCAAGGCGGCGACGGGUAGCCGGCCUGAGAGGGCGACCGGCCACACCGGGACUGAGACACGGCCCAGACUCCUACGGGAGGCAGCAGUGGGGAAUAUUGCACAAUGGGCGGAAGCCUGAUGCAGCGACGCCGCGUGAGGGAUGACGGCCUUCGGGUUGUAAACCUCUUUCGGUAGGGACGAAGCGUGAGUGACGGUACCUACAGAAGAAGCGCCGGCCAACUACGUGCCAGCAGCCGCGGUAAGACGUAGGGCGCGAGCGUUGUCCGGAUUUAUUGGGCGUAAAGAGCUCGUAGGCGGCUUGUUGCGUCGGCUGUGAAAGCCCAUGGCUUAACUGUGGGUUGGCAGCUGAUACGGGCAGGCUGGAGUUCGGUAGGGGAGACUGGAAUUCCUGGUGUAGCGGUGAAGUGCGCAGAUAUCAGGAGGAACACCGGUGGCGAAGGCGGGUCUCUGGGCCGAUACUGACGCUGAGGAGCGAAAGCGUGGGGAGCGAACAGGAUUAGAUACCCUGGCAGUCCACGCUGUAAACGUUGGGCGC